AACGAACGCUGGCGGCAGGCCGUAACACAUGCAAGUCGAACGCCCCGCAAGGGGAGUGGCAGACGGGUGAGUAACACGUGGGAACCUUCCCAACAGUACGGAAUAGCCCAGGGAAACUUGGAGUAAUACCGUAUAUUCCCGAGAGGGGAAAGAUUUAUCGCUGUUGGAUGGGCCCGCGUCGGAUUAGCUAGUUGGUGAGGUAACGGCUCACCAAGGCGACGAUCCGUAGCUGGUUUGAGAGAAUGACCAGCCACACUGGGACUGAGACACGGCCCAGACUCCUACGGGAGGCAGCAGUGGGGAAUCUUGGACAAUGGGCGCAAGCCUGAUCCAGCCAUGCCGCGUGAGUGACGAAGGCCUUAGGGUUGUAAAGCUCUUUUACCGGGGACGAUAAUGACGGUACCCGGAGAAUAAGUCCCGGCUAACUUCGUG
rnacentral:rRNA from 1 species